AGUGAACGCUGGCGGCGUGCCUAAUACAUGCAAGUCGAACGGAGUGGCGCGCGGGUGAGUAAUGUAUAGCUAAUCUGCCCUACACUAGAGGGAAACAGUUGGAAACGACUGCUAAUACUCUAUAGUGUAGGAUGAGGCUAUAUUGUAUCAGCUAGUUGGUGAGGUAAGGGCUCCCCAAGGCUAUGACGCAUAACUGGUCUGUGAGGAUGAGCAGUCACACGGGAAGUGAGACACAGUCGAGACUCCGACGGGAGGCAGCAGGAGGGAAUAUUGCUCAAUGGGCGAAAACCUGAAGCAGCAUCGCCGCGUGGAGGAUGACACUGUUCGGAGCGUAAACUCCGUUUGUUAGGGAAGCGGUACCUAACGAAUAAGCACCGGCUAACUCCGUGCCAGCAGCCGCGGUAAUAC
rnacentral:rRNA from 1 species